CCUACCCAUACAGUCUGACAACUGUGGAUGCUGUAUCACAUGUAUAUCAGGAAGUGGCAGAGAGGAGAAAGUCUAUCCUCAAUAUUCUGACCUAUGAACAUCUAUCUGAAUAACCAGUAGCGGA
ensembl:snoRNA Gm24345 predicted gene, 24345